rnacentral:rRNA from 1 species
AACAAGGUCUCCGUUGGUGAACCAGCGGAGGGAUCAUUACAGAGUGUAAAAACUCCCAAACCCUUUGUGAACAUACCACUGUUGCCUCGGCGGACCUACCCGGUAGCUACCCUGUAGCUACCCUGUAGCCGCCGGCGGACCACCAAACUCUGAUUAUGUAGAUAUCUGAGCGUACUUUUAAAUAAGUCAAAACUUUCAACAACGGAUCUCUUGGUUCUGGCAUCGAUGAAGAACGCAGCGAAAUGCGAUAAGUAAUGUGAAUUGCAGAAUUCAGUGAAUCAUCGAAUCUUUGAACGCACAUUGCGCCCAUUAGUACUCUAGUGGGCAUGCCUGUUCGAGCGUCAUUACGACCCUUAAGCCUAGCUUAGUAUUGGGAACCUACGUGCGGCAGCUACCCUGUAGCUACCCUGUAGCUCCUUAAAGACAACGGCGGAGACGUGGAGUCCUCUGAGCUUAGUAACUUUUCUAGCUUCUGAGGGCGCCGCGGCCCCUGCCGUAAAACCCCAACUUUUAGUGGUUGACCUCGGAUCAGGUAGGAAUACCCGCUGAACUUAARCAUAUCAAUAAGCGGAGG